rnacentral:lncRNA from 1 species
GCAGAUAUUGUUGUUGGUUCUGCUCAGAGGUUUGGAGUGCCUAUGGGUUAUGGAGGCCCUCAUGCGGCUUUCUUGGCAACUUCUCAAGAAUACAAGAGAAUGAUGCCCGGAAGAAUCAUUGGUGUCAGUGUUGAUUCUUCAGGGAAACCUGCUCUGCGUAUGGCAAUGCAAACCAGGGAACAGCACAUCCGCAGAGACAAGGCUACAAGCAACAUUUGUACAGCACAGGUACUGACUGAACUAAUGUUUCAUCAACUGUUUCAAAAAAUAUGUAUGCCAUACCGAUAUUUAUCCUCCUAGAUUCUCUGUUAUGCAACAUUCUUAUAAUGUAUUAGUAAGAAUUUUAAGCGGUUUGAAAAAUGUUUACUUUUCUGCUUGUAUGCGAUGUGUUGUAUAGACAUGAGCGGUAGGGAGUAACAAGAAACAACUAACUAGUUUGUUUUUCUUGCAAGAAAGUAUCUGUCUCUCAUUUGUGCAUUGGAAUGCUCUGAUGCACACGCUAUGCUACUUAUUUUCUUGCAGUGGUUUAUGAUAUUGUACAUUUCUUAUGUAGGCCUUGCUUGCGAACAUGGCUGCCAUGUAUGCAGUCUAUCAUGGACCGGAGGGGCUAAAAACCAUUGCCCAACGUGUUCAUGGUCUUGCCGGAACACUUGCUGCUGGGCUCAAAAAGCUAGGAACGGUAGAAGUUCAGGAUCUUCCAUUCUUUGACACUGUGAAGGUUAAGUGUGCUGAUGCAAAAGCAAUUGCUGAUGUUGCUUACAAG